GACGAACCGAGCGAACGUUAUUCGGAAUCACUGGGUGUAAAGGGUGCGUAGGUGGCGGGGUAAGUCAGGUGUGAAAUCUCGGAGCUCAACUCCGAAACUGCACUUGAUACUGCCUUGCUCGAGUACUGGAGAGGAGAUUGGAAUUUACGGUGUAGCAGUGAAAUGCGUAGAUAUCGUAAGGAAGACCAGUGGCGAAGGCGAAUCUCUGGACAGUUACUGACACUGAGGCACGAAGGCCAGGGGAGCAAACAGG
rnacentral:rRNA from 1 species